rnacentral:rRNA from 1 species
UACGGGGGGGGUAAGCGUUGUUCGGAAUUACUGGGCGUAAAGGGCUCGUAGGCGGCCAACUAAGUCAUACGUGAAAUCCCUCAGCUUAACUGGGGAACUGCGUGUGAUACUGGAUGGCUUGGAUUUGGGAGAGGGAUGCGGAAUUCCAGGUGUAGCGGUGAAAUGCGUAGAUAUCUGGAGGAACACCGGCGGCGAAGGCGGGUUCCUGGGCCUUAACUGACGCUGAGACACGAAAGCUAGGGGAGCAAACAGG